GCGUGACCUAACGCGUGACAAAUUCGUCGUGUCACGCCGACUCACGUGCUUUGAGAAUACUGGACCACCUUGUAAUGAUAUGUAAGCUGUUGUUAUUCGAUCGGUACAACAAUGAAAUAUCUUUUUAGCUUGAUUCAAUGUCGAUACCAGUCUAUAUUAUUAUUCCACGAUAGUACCAAUCGACUUGCACAGUAUACGAGGGAACAGUUCUAAGGAUAAAUCUUAUUGUCAGUCCGUACCUUGGUACUACCAUCUCGUGUUCUUCUCGCCCGUAUUGAAAAGACUUUCGCACGAUCGGAAUCUACGCUUGGCAACUUGGCGCAAUAUCGGAACCAGUUCUACCGUCUAAGCGAGUACUUAAAAAGAUUAUGGAAGAAAUAUUUGGACGAACAAAAGGAUAAAGAAAUAUUUGAUGAUCCUUUGACGUUUUUAAACUCUACCAUGAUGCGAUUAGGAGGGGAAGAACGCAUUGGUUAAAAAGAACGAAAGGCUCGAUAGUCAAAAAUUCGUUUUGAGACAGCGAGCUUAUCUCACCGAUCAGGGUCCGCCACGAAUUAUAAGAGAGGAACCUGCCGGCGCAGGAUCUCCGUUGGACCACACAUCGAACCUCUUGUCUGCAGGUUCAACGCACUCGCUGUAAUUACCACAAACGAACGCGAAGCUUCGUCGAGACACACAAGGUAUAUAAACUCGCGAGCAUGGACACGUCCGUGAAGUCACGUUGGCAUCGACGAAGAUUUCGAAGUGGCAACUUUAUAUCCACGAUCACGACGACAAAAGAAAUGCACGCUCGUUUAAUGAGAGAACUCGAAGAGAACUUGUCUCCAGCUUGACGAUACUUCGAGCGGCAACAUCAUCGACCUCCUGGCCACCUUUACGUCCUUCGACGAGUGUGAACGCGCAGGCACCUACGAGAUGAUUCAUGCUCAUGCCUAUCCACGUGGAAAACGAGGAGAGACGGUGUAAGAGAGGAAGAGAAAGAGAGAGUGAGAGAGAGAGAGAGAGAGAAAGAGAGAGAGUUUCUUCGUCAGUAGCGUAGUCGAGAUACUGAGGUACGAUCGGUUGAUGGAUAGCGAGAAGAAGGGAAGAAGAGAAAGAGAGAGAGAGAGAGAGAGAGAGAGAGAGAGAGAGAGAGAGAGAAAGAAAAAGAAAAGGAAAAAGAGAUGGAAGGGGUAAUCGCUACGCAGCAUCCACAGAAGAGAUCCUUGGCUAACAGGAUUCAAGAAGCAACCGACAUCUGGAUUCUUAAAUACAUUAUAAAUGAUACUGCCUUCUGUUAUAACGACAGUAUUAUCGAUUAUUUUCUUUUGGGAUAAGCUCGUGGUUGACCCUGCGGUAAUCGCGAAUUCUCUUGGAGAUUUGUCUCCUUUCCCAUAGAAAACUUGUUAAUCUUUUUAUAACGAUCGGAUGGGAAAAGAUCGUUCGUGUAAAUGAAAUUUUAUAUUAUAAUGUUGAUUAUCUCGGGGAAUGUAAUAAAAAAAGAUCGUUGUACAUGAAUAUAUCGUAUUGUUGCGAGUAAUAUGCAAGUAGAACUUAAAAAUUAUUACAAAGGAAUGAAAAGGAGGAUGUAAUAAUUUUCGAUCCUUGACUCGUUUGAUAAUACGAUUUAUGUUACUACUUAUCUAGCGUAAUACAUUGUUGAAGUUUCUUCAAGUAUAAGCAAGGUUUUCUUUGGAUAAUCGAGCUUCCAGCAUCGCGUUACCAUCAUCGCAAGGGAACCAUUUCGAAAAUUUAUCAACGUUUAACAGUUAUUUUGUAUUUCGCUUUUGUGUAAGCGGCCCCUCGAUCUCUCAGAGCCUUAUACGCUUUAUUCGUGUAGACUAACAGAUCGUUACGGCCGUUUUAUUUUACUCUUUUUCAUUCUCGCUACCCAGACGCCCAUCCCUUUUGUAUCUUUUGGAGUCAGAUGUCACGGCUUCCCAGUAGAGAUCCACGGCUACGCCACUGUCCUUAGCGACCGCACCGCGGUCGUAUGUACGUACUCUUACACCAGUUGAUCGUGUACUUUAGAAUGUCUCUGUGUGUGUGUGUGUGUGUGUGUGUGUGCGCGCGCGUGCGCGCAUUCACAUAGAAACAUAUCCAAGUAUGUAUGUAUCGUAUAAAACGUUGUAUUCACAAGCACACGUUCGUAUUCAUCGACGAUGAAAAAUUUUAAGUGCUCAUCCUUUACGAGGCUGCGCUGUAAUUAAUAAUAAUAACGAUGUAAAUCAAGGCUCUUGAUGGCAGCGAGGACAUCGCUCGACGCAAGAUAACGUGGAAUCUGGAAAUGUAUCAUAGUCACGAAAAUCUUAACGAGUCUCUCGACUACUACUACCACCACCACCACGAUCAUCACCAAAGCCUUACGCCACAAACGUCGCGACACCAACGACUUAUCCGACACGGGUUUAACUAGCUUUUGAAAAAGGUCCGACGGCCUUACAGUCUCCGCCUCCUUGGUUCCCUUAAGAUUAAAAAUCUUUUCAAACUUACGGUCAUUAAUUAAGACCGAGAGUUUGCACAACGUCGGAUAUAACGAGUUGUAUGUCUUGUCAAAAGUUGAACGCUUUCGUUAUUUCUACCUACGAACGUAUCACGUAUAUAUGUGUGCGCGUAUAUACGUACGUCUUUAUUUAUUUACAUACACCUUUCUCGCGUAUCAAGGUAACCUUUUAGAUAUUUAUUCAAUGGACGUAUUGAAAUAAGAGAAUAGUAUUGAAAGAGCCUGGAAGGAUGAUUGUAGGAUAAGUCAUACUCGAAGAUAAUCUUCGAAAUUGUCGAACAAAAAUUUAACUUUCUAUUAUUACAUAGCAUUUGUACGAUCCUGACAUAGUUAACGUGAAUCUGUUUUAAUUUAGUUUAAAUUAAUUUCAUUAAUCAACGAAACGAUACAAUCAGUCAGUUACUUAUCGAAAAUGCAUUUUUGUUUGAAGGUUAGAAAAACGAAAAAAAUUCAUGAUCAAUUCAUUAACAAUCCUGUAAACGUUCGAAUGAGAGAUGAAGCUUUUAGUUGUAUCGUUAAUCGUAUUAUCAUUUAUUGCUAUGUGCGUUAUUUUUCCCCAGUAUCGGCCAUUAUGAUUUAUUGAAAUUCCAGUAUUCAUUGUUAUCAAAGGUAAUCGGCAAAAAAAUGAUCAUAUACCGCGAGGAUAUAGAAGAAAAGGAAAAAAAAAAAAAAAAGAAAAACUGACAUACUAAUCGAGCGGAGGAUCCUUUUGUGAGGGUGAAGAAAAAGAAGAAGAGGAUAAAGAAGAGGAAGAAGAAGAAGAAGAAGAAGAAGAAGAGAACGAAUAGAAUAAAUAAUCGUGUAAGCUGGGAGUGCUUCCGACUCUACGAUGGGGCCCCCUUGCUACCGAAAUUACAGGCCGGUGCUUUUGUCGUUGUUACUGACGCUUUGUAAGAUAAUUUACACGGCGUGCGUGCGCGACCAGUUCGUGUUACGACGAUUUCAUCCGUUUCGAAUCGAGUCGUUCGGUUUGGAUCGUUAACGAACGCUCCAUUCGAGAAUCUCUUCGCGAGUAGAAUAGAAUAAAACUAGAGAAAGACCGAAGUGACAAAGAUAGAUAUAAAGGUAGAGAUAGUUUCUAAGCUUAUGAAAGAGAGAGAUAGAGACGGAGAUGUGUUAAUGGUUCGCUGACGCAACGGUUCUUAGGGACGAUUGUUAUCGAGCUUGUUCGCGAGUCUCUAUUAAGCGGGUCGAGGAUAUGGCCGCCGGGAUAUUAUCGAUCCUCGAUCCUCCUUUUCUUAUUUCAAUGAUCGCGAACGAAGAUGACGACGUUGCAGAUUCCUUCGAGCCGGGAAAAUUCUCUUCGACUGGUUUUCUAAAGAUAAUACCACAUUACCAAUCUCUUCGAGACCUGGAAAAGCUUGACUUUCCCCAAUCAAAUCUCAAUGCGACGUUCGGAUCGUUAUACGAGGGAGCUGUCGAUCAAUGGCCACAACCACAUCCGGACUUACUGCCGUUUCUAUUCGCUAUUGAAAUCUCUUCUUAUUGAGAAUAACAACAACAAUAACAACGACAAGAGUAAAGGUGUUCCUUAUACAACGAGAGCUCGUUCUUCUCAAUCAAGGAUAUAUUUAGAGAAAAAAAAAGAAAACAACAACAACAACAACAAAGCGAGAACAACUUAACAAACUUGAUAAAACAAAAUUGAACUCGUUAAAAUGGGAAAGAUUAAAAAUGGGAAGUAUCGGUAAUUGUAAAAGUUUAUUGGAUUAAUUUUGAUAAAUGUCUGUAAGGAUAAGAAAGACAUUGGAGGAUGACGUAUAUUGUGCGUCAGGACAGUCAGGGGCGGCCUCGUCUCGUCAAGGGCCCACCGUGCUGCCUGAUCGAGGAGGUAACGACCCGCAGGGUCAAACUCGAUCGGCGGAGAAGGAACGAGGAGGAGGGGUGGGAGAAGAAGCUGUGCAAACUGAGAAAAGGUCCACGCAAACAUACAUACGUAUCGACGUUGAAAGAAGUCGCGAGGGAAACGCGUUGUACGAUCUUCGAUAGUAAGAGACUGCGAGUAGAGUUGGUGGUAGUGGUCGAUGGAGAAGGUGAUGGAGAAGGACCAAGGAGCUUGGUAAAGAAGAGAGGAAAAGAAAGAGAUCUUGCUUCGAGAUGCGAUCGUCGCUCGCGAACGAUCGUCGUCUCCUUCUCGCUGCCUCUGGAUCGUUUCUGCAGAUGGUCGACGUUCCUCGAACUUUUUUACAUUCUUUCCAAUAACCAGAGGACAAUAACAACAGGACGUGGCAAUGCUUGAUUUACAAUGACCGAAAAAGUCGUAUCUGAAGUUCCAUUGAGGGAUCGAUUCGACACAAUUCGAUUCGUGCUCGAAAAAUAGGAAAUAGAAGUUAAAACGGCGGCCAAAGGGAAUACGAGACUUCGAUAAUUCGUCAAAUAAAAUCCGCGUCUCCUCGGAGACAUUGCAACAGGGAAAGAACGAAGGAGACAGUAUAUCCAACUUCUGUGAACCAUAAAGGUAAACGCGAAAAUAAAUCGCCGUUUGAUUUUCUAAUGGACAGAAGAAUAACGAUUUUAAAGAGAAUCUACUCUCGUCAUCGAAUUCCAACGAUAAUUAAAUCACCAAGCGCACGUGAAAGACGUCAGAUUUAUCGGUGUAAAAUAUAUGAUAAUGGAAGGAUGAGGAGACGAAAAGAAGGAUACUCCCUCUUCGUUUCCUACCUAGAGGCUCGAGAAUCCCGGAUGGGCCACCCUGAAAUUAUUGCGGUGUCCCUCAAUUAGGGAGCGUGACCGGCCGUCUCUGGAGAUCUUUUCACUUCCCUUCGACUCGAACAGCUUCGGUCGUUCGUCACUCGAUGACCUUUUUACUUUUCUCUCUUUUUCCUUAGCUUGCUUGCAGUUGCUGAGACUAUUAUUGAAGGAAUAAAAUCAAAGAUCAUCGCAUUUAUAAGAAUAGAAAUGUAUAUAUUCUAUGAUAUGAAGAUUCUGAAGUUGGAAAGUGAAAAAGGUAUAAAAGGGAUGCUAUUGGAGAAUUAAGAGAUAGACGCCUACGUUCAAACGAGCCUUCCUGUCCUGCAACUACACAGCACAUUGUAUUCCAUGUAGGAUCGAACGCGGAAGCUGUACAUAUACAUGUAUAUAUAUAUAUAUAUAUAUAUACAUAUAUAUAUAUAUAGGGCUUCUCUUACGUCGUCCCUGUUGUUACUUCUGGUCGCUGCGGGCACUGCCACUAUCGCUGCUUCUGGUACCAACCUCGGUGCCGUUCCUCUUGUGCUGACGGUGCUCUUGCUGGUGCUGCUGGUGCUGCUGCUGCUGCUGCUGCUGCUGCAACAACCGACGACCCCGUUUACAUUAGCUCCAAGAGUUUCGCCGCAGGCCAAAAUGCUACCACGCUUACUCGCACCGAAACGAUCUUCUUUUUGCACUUCUCUCAGGCAGCUUCCUCUCUUGAAUUUCUUUAUUUUCCUUUGACGCAAAUGAUUUUUCUGUUCUUUUGUUUUUGUUUUUUUUUUUUUUUUUUUUUUUUUUUUUUUUUUUUUAUAAAAUUUAUCCAAAAUCUUUCAACGAAGUAAAGAAGGAUAAAUUAAUCUCACAGACGAUGUUCGAUCAACGUCGAAGAUCUAACUCGUAGAUUAGAAAUUUCCGACUAAUUUUAUGAAACAUUAUUUAAGCGUUAUCUGAUUAAAGUAAAAUUUCUUUGACGUUUUUAAUUUCAAUCGAAAAUAAUAAAAGGAUUUCGUUUAUUCGUUCGUCCAUUGUUCCUGUUGUUUUUAGAUUUUUCGAUUAAGAAUCGUACUAUUAUAUAUAUAUAUACAUAUGUAUAUUUACGUUCAAGUUAUUUACACGAAUAGAAUAGAAAGUUUCAAUGGAUAGUACUGUUCGUUCGUUCGUUCGUUCGUUCGCUGCCGUCCCAGUUGUCCACUUUACUUUUCACAUAGACGUGAAAGCGUUAUGCAAUGAUUUUUUGAAUGACCUUCGUACCGCGACAUUCCUUCUACCACAAUAAUUACUAUCGACAAUGAAAAUUGUUCUUCCAACGAUUCUAAUAACUCUUUCUUUUAUUUUAUUUUAAGCUUCUCGAAUUGCGUGCUCAUAAAAUUACGAAAUAUCACGUUGCGAUAUGGGAUUUAGAUUUAGUCUCGUUUUUAUUAAAGAUCUGAAUGAGUUAUAAACGAAGUGCUCGAUGAUAAAGUAGGGUAACGUUUGUCGAGUUUAAUCAAAGCCGAAAGGAAGAUUGUCGUUUUAAAUAUCUAAUGAAUUAAGGAAGACUUAUAGAUAGGGACAGAGACAUAGAGAAUGAGAAAGAGAGAUAGAACGAUAACUAGAGAGUAAGAAACAGAGAGAGAGAGAGAGAGAGAGAGAGAGAGAGAGAAAGAGAAAAAGGGACGCGUAAUGAAUAAUGAAUUCUUAACGAGUUGUCUCGAUUGAUCAAAGAAGAUGAGAUAGUCAGUCGCAUCGUGGUAUCCUUAGACACUGAUCACCUACUCAAUUUUAUUGGUACUAACAAUGGCACAUUGAAACCCUAAGAAACACCAUUGUAUCGGUCUCAUUGUGUGGCGCAAUAAAAGAGGAUUGGACGGCGAAGGGGUAAAAGGGAGUAAAACGGGGGAGUGUGUGUGUGAGAGAGAGAGAGAGAGAGAGAGAAGGGAGAAAAGCGACUGUUCGUAGGCUGAUACGAUAGAAGGUAAAGACUUUGAAUGCAUUCGAGUAGUAAGUUUAAAGUACGGCGUAAAGAGGAUAGAAUAGAGGUAUCCUUGAAUCUCUCAGAAGGCUAUUUCCUGGCCUUGAUGUCCAUCGAACGUAAAGACUCUCCUUAUAGGGAAGGGAAUCUCGAUCGGAGUUAACGCAUUUUUUCAAGGCGAUGCACCCGGCGUUGCACGGCUUGCAAGUGGAGAUACCGAUUCCGAAAGUUGCAUAAUCUUAUCUCAACGUCGGCAUAAUAUUGGAUCGCGUCUAGAAUUUGCUCGUUUAUUACGAGCAUUCUUACAAUCGUUCUAUUAUCAACGUGUAUACGAGUCUCGGAUUAAAAAAAAAAAAAAAAAAGCAAGAAGACUGUAAAUCGGAUAAAAAAUGGUGCAUCGAGUAGAGAUUAUUAGAGAUUAUUAAUUCGUGCGAUAACGUGGACGAUCAUUUCUUUUUUCCUUUCUUCUUUUUCUUUUCUUUCUUUUUCUUUUUCUUUUUCUUUUUCUUUUUCUAAUGAACCAAAAUCACAUCUUUAGGACUAUAAACCAUCGUUGCGUCCUCGAGUUUUCUCCUGCUCAAAGAUUUUCCAGUUCGUCGAUCGAUCGAUCAUUCGAACGAUAGCCUUGUGAUUGUCUUUCAGGCGUCCUAUAAUCUCGUUUACAAACACGACACUCUCUUUCAAAAUCAUUAAUCCGCUAAUACAUACAUAUUUAUACGUUCAUAAUUGUAUAUUUAAUUGUAUUAUACGUUAAAUCGUAGAAAUAUUUCUAACGAUGUCAAAUCUUUCGAUUGAAUGCAUUUAUAAAAUGUAUUUCCCUUUAAGCAUAGAUAAUCGGCCGAUAAGGAUCGUCGAUUUUUUUUUAUCUUUUUAAAUGCCUUCGGUGGA